rnacentral:rRNA from 1 species
GUGGGGAAUAUUGGACAAUGGGCGAAAGCCUGAUCCAGCCAUGCCGCGUGUGUGAAGAAGGUCUUCUGAUUGUAAAGCACUUUAAGUUGGGAGGAAGGGCAGUAAGUUAAUACCUUGCUGUUUUGACGUUACCGACAGAAUAAGCACCGGCUAACUUCGUGCCAGCAGCCGCGGUAAUACGAAGGGUGCAAGCGUUAAUCGGGAUUACUGGGCGUAAAGCGCGCGUAGGUGGUUUUGUAAGUUGGAGGUGAAAUCCCCGGGCUCAACCUGGGAACUGCCUCAAAAACUGCAUGACUAGAGUACGGUAGAGGGUAGUGGAAUUUCCUGUGUAGCGGUGAAAUGCGUAGAUAUAGGAAGGAACACCAGUGGCGAAGGCGACUACCUGGACUGAUACUGACACUGAGGUGCGAAAGCGUGGGGAGCAAACAGGAUUAGAAACCCCAGUAGUCC